AACGAACGCUGGCGGCAGGCUUAACACAUGCAAGUCGAACGCCCCGCAAGGGGAGUGGCAGACGGGUGAGUAAAACGUGGGAACAUGCCCAAAGGUACGGAAUAUUCUCGGGAAACUGGGAGCAAUACCGUAUGUGCCCGAAAGGGGAAAGAUUUAUCGCCUUUGGAUUGACCCGCGUCAGAUUAGGUAGUUGGUGGGGUAAUGGCCUACCAAACCGACGAUCUGUAGCUGGUCUGAGAGGACGACCAGCCACACUGGGACUGCGACACGGCCCAGACUCCUACGGGAGGCAGCAGUGGGGAAGCUUGGACAAUGGGCGCAAGCCUGAUCCAGCCAUGCCGCGUGGAUGAUGAAGGCCCUAGGGUUGUAAAAUCCUUUCGUUGGGGACGAUAAUGACGCUACCCAAAGAAGAAGCUCCGGCUAACUUCGUGCCAGCCGCCGCAGUAACAC
rnacentral:rRNA from 1 species